UCACAAGUUUUGGACCCUGUAAAAAUAUUUUAUAUAUAAACAUUUCAAUACAAAAUUCAAUCGCCCAAGUAAGAAUUACGAACACCUUUCCUGGAAAGUUAAACUAGUAUUUGCUUCCAGAACAGUGACAUACAAUAACCAUUUAUAGCAUUAGUUAUAAUCCUAAAAAAAAUAAAAAUAAAAACUUAAAAAAGAUAUAUAGAUGUUUUGCAAUAUGAUUGUUGGCUUGUUACAUCAAUCUAAAGCUCGCAAACAGUUUGCACUUCUCAUCAUCUCUUUCUUCUUCCCCUCUACUUUUAACAAAUUCUAGAAGCUCAAAUGGAGCAAGUAGCAGCAAGAACAACACAAGAAACUUUUACUAUCAGUCCCCAUCAUUCCCCAUUCAAAAUGCAUCAUGACCAUUUUCCAGCCAACUCCAUACACAAAAACAACAGCGAAUUUACCUAAAAACAAUAAAAAAAUUUAACCAAAAAAUAGUAGUAAAUUUAUCCAAAAACAGCAAAAAAUUUAACUAAAAAAUAGUAGUAAAUUUACCCAUAAACAACAUAAAAUGUAGCCCAAAAAUAUCAAUAAAUUUAUCCAAAAACAGCAAAAAAUUUAAGUAAAAAACAGCAGCAAAAUUACCCAAAAAUUUGCAGCAAAUGAAGCCCAAAACACCAAAAAAAAAUUAUCUAGAGAUAGCAAAAAAUUUAACCCAAAAACAGCAGUAAAUUUAUCUAAAAACAACAUAAAAUUAAACUAAAAAACAGCAGCAAAUUUACCCAAAAACAGCAGAAAAUUUAACCCAAAAACAGCAACAAAUAAAGCCAAAAACACUAGGAAAAUUUACCAAAAAAUUUAACCCCAAAACAGCAGCAAAUCAGCCUAAAUACAACAGAAAAUUUACCCAGAAACGGAAGUAUACCAAACCCAAUAUUUUUUUGCAACUUCAAUUUCGUCCAAAUCUCUACACUGCACCAAAGUUUCAGUUUCUAUUUCUUCAUUAACCCAAGUGACACAAAACAAUUCUAUCAAAUUAUAUGUUGAAAUUAUUUGUAGCAAACAAACAAAUAUACCAAAAAUAGGCUUACUUGGUGGAAUUAACAAGAAUGCAAAUGCGAUAGAGGAGAAUCAGUAGCCUGGAACUUCCUUGCCUUCUCUUCCCCUCAACAGGAUUAAGGACAGCAGCAACAACUUAUGAUCAACACCUAGUCCUCCGCUUCAGGCACUGUCACAAUCUCAACAAAAUUUCUUUGUCCCUCAAUUUUCUUGGAAACCAAACAAAAUAGGACAACCAGAACAGAUGCACAUUAACCAAAAAUUAUAAAAACUCCACCUAAAAAAACUAAAAAACGGUGAAAAAAAAAGUCUUACGAAGUGUUCAGCUUUUGAAUCGCCGACGUUAAGCCGUUAUCGUCGACCCGAAACCCCUUCACGAACACGAACCCAGCCUGGUUCUCCUCAGCGGCAUUGUUAUAGAGCUUCUUCUUGUCGGAUUAAAUAAUUUAGUGGCAUUUAGUGG
rnacentral:lncRNA from 1 species